UCUAGUGACCGAUAGUGAACCAGUACCGUGAGGGAAAGGUGAAAAGUACCCCGGAAGGGGAGUGAAAGAGAACUUGAAACCGUGUGCUUACAAGUAGUCAGAGCCCGUUAAUGGGUGAUGGCGUGCCUUUUGUAGAAUGAACCGGCGAGUUACGAUCUGAUGCAAGGUUAAGCAGCAAAUGUGGAGCCGCAGCGAAAGCGAGUCUGAAUAGGGCGUUGAGUAUUUGGUCGUAGACCCGAAACCAGGUGAUCUACCCUUGGUCAGGUUGAAGUUCAGGUAACACUGAAUGGAGGACCGAACCGACUUACGUUGAAAAGUGAGCGGAUGAACUGAGGGUAGCGGAGAAAUUCCAAUCGAACUUGGAGAUAGCUGGUUCUCUCCGAAAUAGCUUUAGGGCUAGCCUCAAGUGAUGAUUAUUGGAGGUAGAGCACUGUUUGGACGAGGGGCCCCUCUCGGGUUACCGAAUUCAGACAAACUCCGAAUGCCAAUUAAUUUAACUUGGGAGUCAGAACAUGGGUGAUAAGGUCCGUGUUCGAAAGGGAAACAGCCCAGACCACCAGCUAAGGUCCCAAAAUAUAUGUUAAGUGGAAAAGGAUGUGGCGUUGCCCAGACAACUAGGAUGUUGGCUUAGAAGCAGCCAUCAUUUAAAGAGUGCGUAAUAGCUCACUAGUCGAGUGACACUGCGCCGAAAAUGUACCGGGGCUAAACAUAUUACCGAAGCUGUGGAUUGUCCUUUGGACAAUGGUAGGAGAGCGUUCUAAG
rnacentral:rRNA from 1 species